rnacentral:rRNA from 1 species
AUUGAACGCUGGCGGCAGGCCUAACACAUGCAAGUCGAGCGAGCGGCGGACGGGGGAGUAAUGUCUGGGAAACUGCCUGAUGGAGGGGGGUAACUACUGGGAACGGGAGCUAAUACCGCAUACCAUCAGAUGUGCCCAGAUGGGAUUAGCUAGUAGGGGGGGUAACGGCUCACCUAGGCGACGAUCCCUAGCUGGUGUGAGAGGGUGACCAGCCACACUGGAACUGAGACACGGUCCAGACUCCUACGGGAGGUAGCAGUGGGGAAUAUUGCACAAUGGGCGCAAGCCUGAUGCAGCCAUGCCGCGUGUGUGAAGAAGGCCUGCGGGUUGUAAAGCACUUUCAGCGGGGAGGCGUUACCCGCAGAAGAAGCACCGGCUAACUCCGUGCCAGCAGCCGCGGUAAUAC